CAACUUUCAACAACGGAUCUCUUGGCUCUCGCAUCGAUGAAGAACGCAGCGAAAUGCGAUAUGUAAAUGUGAAUUGCAGAAUUCAGUGAAUCAUCGAAUCUUUGAACGCACCUUGCGCCCCUUGGCAUUCCGAGGGGCACACCCGUUUGAGUGUCGUGA
rnacentral:rRNA from 1 species